rnacentral:lncRNA from 1 species
UGCUUUCUUCUCUCUCUUUACAAUUUAAUUUUUAUCAAUUAAUGUCAAUAAUUAAUUAAUUAUAUUUUUCAUUACUCUAAUUUUAGAAACCUAAGAUUUAUUUUAAAUUCUCUUCUUAUUAAUACUUUUGCGUCUAUGUUAUUGUAAAUGUGCCCAACUAAAAGAAACAACUUUAGGCCUACUGGCCUAAUUAAGUCCAAACAGCAUCAACCACAAUCCAAGGUUUCCGGUAACCACUGCGAGCCCCUGGUCUCACAACACUUUUUACUACAUCACCUUCACUAAAGAUUCGUAAUUGCUAAGAACAGAGAAUCCCAGAAACCCAAAACAAAUUCUACUACCCACCAUCCCCAAAACCUCAAAUCAUCAAUCCACCGACGAGGCCAAUAACACAAGAUUAUCAAAACACUAAAACCCAAUUCGAGAGAACAAUAACAGAACACCCAAAGAUAAUUCCCGAAUCAAAAUCAAGAGCACAAGGACUUCAAAACAGCACCCAAUUUCAAACCCCAAUAUGAGCAAAACCCCCAAGGUCGUGAAUUUUGAAUGGAAUUGAUGCUUUCCCUGCAGCGAAAACACAGAACCAAAAUGAAUUUGGAAAAAGAAGAGUUCCCGCAAAAGCCCCAAAUCGAAACCCUAAAUCGCAAGAUGCGUCAACCGCGAGAACAAAACCUUGUGCUUCAAAGUCGCCGGAGUUCGAAAUUUCGUGAAGACGUCACUGUUGCCACACCCGCGAACGAGGACCGUCGUGCCGUGGAGACGAAGACAUGCCUGCUGGAAAAAAAAUGCCUCCCUUACAUGCAUGAGGCAAACCUGAACUGAGAAGAGGAAGAACGACUAACGCGCCACUACGAACCACAUGGAGGAAAUGAAGACGCCGUCGGAGUCACAACCUCUCCACGCCGUUGUCGUCACCCCCAAAGACGCUAGUAAGAAACACAGAGAAAGAAAGGGAAAGAAGUCUCCCUGGUUUGCGCGAGACUACAAAGACAACCCACAACUGGGUCUAUCUGACAGAAGAAGAAGAAGCUAUGUUUUGGAAAAGUUCGAGAUUAAGUGGAAAAAAAAGAAGCUAAAAGUUUCUGAUUUGAAAGCUGAUUAGGGUAAAUAAGUGAAUCUAAUUGAAUUAAACAAUUAGAAUUAUGAAGGUAAUUAGAAUUUACCAUUUAC